GGGACUGUCCUGUGUCUUUAAGUUAGUGUUUUCUCUCCGUGAGGAAGAGGCACUUUGCGAUUUCUGAUAAAGUGGCCUUGUUUCCAGACCGAUUUCCAAGUGUGCCUCUGAGGACAGACUGCAGCGAGCACGUCUCCCCCCAACGUCUUCCCCCUCGUCUCCUGUGGGAACUCCCUGUCCGAUGAGCGCCUGGUGGCCAUGGGCUGCCUGGCCAAGGACUUCCUGCCCAGCCCUGUCACCUUCUCCUGGAAAUUUAAGAACGCCACCGCCAUCAGCAACCAGGACAUCCAGAGCUUCCCACCCACCCUGUGGGGAGGCAAGUACACGGCCAGCUCGCAGCUGCUCCUGCCCAGCGCCGACAUCCUCCAGGGCACAGACGAGUUCGUGACGUGCAAGGUCACACACUCCAGCAACGAAAAAGUAGUGCAAGUGCCCCUCCAAGGU